GGUGGGAUUGACAGAUUGAGAGCUCUUUCUUGAUUCUUUGGGUGGUGGUGCAUGGCCGUUCUUAGUUGGUGGAGUGAUUUGUCUGGUUAAUUCCGUUAACGAACGAGACCUUAACCUGCUAACUAGUUCGUAUUCUCACAGAGUACGAUACUUCUUAGAGGGACUAUAUAUGUUAAGUAUAUGGAAGUUUGAGGCAAUAACAGGUCUGUGAUGCCCUUAGAUGCCUGAGGGCCGCACGAUGCGCUACAAUGACAUGCUCAGCAAGUUCUAUCCUGAUUCGUAAGAAUUUGGGUAAUCUUUUUAGGACAUGUCCUGUUAGGGAUCGAUCUUUGGAAUUAUAGAUCUUGAACGAGGAAUUCCUAGUAAGUGCAAGUCAUCAGCUUGUACUGAUUACGUCCCUGCCCUUUGUACACACCGCCCGUCGCUGCUACCGAUUUCGAGUGGUCCGGUGAACCACAUGGACUUU
rnacentral:rRNA from 1 species